GACGUAGCACCAGAAGACACAGUAGAAGACACAGUAGAAGAAACAGCAGAAGAAGCAGUAGAAGAAGUAUUAGAGGAAGUACAACAGGAAGAACAGGCUCCAUCAGAAGAAGCUGUGGAGGAGGAGGUCACAGAGGAGACAGCCACAGAAGCUGAGUUCAGUGAGACACAGGAACAGAGUGAGGACGAGCCCACAGAAACGUAGAAGCUGCAGCAGUUACCGUGGUGAUGAAGCAGGGAGCCUCACUGAGCACGCUCAGAAAACCAGCGCAUGUCUCCACCUGAGGACUGAUACUGGCGUCAUACCCCUCCCUUCUGUGUGAAUGAAUGAGUGAGUGGUGAAUGGGUGAAUUACACCUUCUUUUAAACCAGUGUUUCUGAAGUAGGCAUUUCUCCUUCCUUAAACUUCUAUAACCACUAAAGCCACCAUAUCCACACAUACACUUUACACAUCACAUUCAGCCCAAACUCAAAUCAACAUUUCAGAAACACUGCUUUUAUUUCCUUGUAGCCUAGAUCACAUGACAAAAGCAUGUGACUAAUAAAUAUUUGCCAUUUUAUGAUAAAUAUGAAAUUUUCUUACCAAGAAUUUGAGACCAAAGUGCUGCUCCAUUCAAAAUGUGAGCAGAAUUUAUUCGAAUAUUAGCAAAAAUUCAAUCAGCCAGUUUAAUCCUAUAUAUUUUGUAGUCUCUAUGCAAAACUCUUUACCACUCGGUGUGUGACGUGUGAAUUAGCCAUUAGCACGAAUGCUAGUCUGAGUGUCUUUUUGAAUGUUCCUUGUUUAGCGUUGACAAAUCCCUUCCAUCUGUGAUACUCCCCCAUUUUAACAACCUCUGUCUUUUUAGUUUUUUCAUUUUAUUGUAAUUUUUACUUUUAACAAUUUAACUAAUGCUGUUAAUUCUUACAACAAUGGACUGUGAAUUUAAAUAUGGCAAAACAAGGCAAUUUUUAAGAUUACACAUUUUUUUAGGAACAGAUUUUUUAGAGAACUGGCCUGUGCCACUUUUACACCAAAAAUCUUUCUGUAGACACCACUACAAAUUUUAGUUUUGCCUCUUUGAACAUGUUGGCUAACUCCAUGCAGGAUAAUUUCGCUAGCUACAAUUCAAAAUGGCCGAAUGUUUUUGCGCUCACGUCAUGUAUUCAGCAAUAUGAAUGAUGUCUACAGUGCUACAUCAUGUUUUGGGUUUUUUUGCUGUUAUUUAAAAUUUACGAGGAGUAGCAGUAUGGUGUCGUCUUGGUAAAUUUUGAACAACAAUUGCUUUUUUGUCUUGGUGUUCUGUCUUAGCUAAUAGGCUGGAGUUUGGAGUGUUUUGCUUGGUCCCUUUAUGUGUAAUAUCUUAUGGAAGAAUUAAUGUUUGAUAAUUCACGUAGCGGGUGGUGUAUGCCCUCAGACCUUUCUGAAUAAAGGCCCAAGCAAGCGUUUAUCUUAUUUUGAAGGAGCAGGUUGUAAACAUUCCUGACAUUUUGAUCAUGUACAAAUCGAAAAUACAACUUGACUGUUGCUUAGAAACCGCUGCACAAACUUUGAAAUAGGUUGAAAACUUUAUUCUGUUUUGUGUAGUGUCUUGUGUUAGCAGCCAUGUUUCUAUUUCAGGCUAUAAGAUUAUGGUUACAUUUGAAACUC
ensembl:lncRNA